CAGUAGCCGCGGGAAUACGUAGGGGGCAAGCGUUGUCCGGAAUCAUUGGGCGUAAAGCGCGUGUAGGCGGCUCGAUAAGUCUGCUGUGAAAGUCCAGGGCUCAACCCUGGAAUGCCGGUGGAAACUGUCGAGCUCGAGUCCGGAAGAGGCAAGUGGAAUUCCUGGUGUAGCGGUGAAAUGCGCAGAUAUCAGGAGGAACACCAAUGGCGAAGGCAGCUUGCUGGGACGGUACUGACGCUGAGACGCGAAAGCGUGGGGAGCAAACAGGAUUAGAUACCCCGGUAGUCCCUGUCUCUUAUAC
rnacentral:rRNA from 1 species